CGGGACGGGUGAGUAACGCGUGGGUAACCUGCCUUGUACAGGGGGAUAACAGUUGGAAACGGCUGCUAAUACCGCAUAAGCGCACAGCAUCGCAUGAUGCAGUGUGAAAAACUCCGGUGGUAUAAGAUGGACCCGCGUUGGAUUAGCUAGUUGGUGAGGUAACGGCCCACCAAGGCAACGAUCCAUAGCCGACCUGAGAGGGUGACCGGCCACAUUGGGACUGAGACACGGCCCAA
rnacentral:rRNA from 1 species